ACCCGUACCCGUAUCCUUUUUUUUUUUGGAGAGGUUUUGCCGUAUUAGCGUACUCGUACCAGUAUCCAUACCCACACCCGUGCUACAUAGAGAGCAAAAACUCCUGCACUUGUUCCCGAAGAUGCAGAUCCUAUUUGGUCAGUAGGUGCCAAAACCAUUCUAUCCAAAGGGACAUGAAUGAAACAGAGAAUUGGUAACAUCAUGAAUGGAAUCCACAAUCGACUGGGAGAUCCAAGGAUCGGCCCAGUCUUACUCUUGGGAGCAUUGAUGUCUUUUGGUGGCAUCUGGCUGCGAAGGAGCCAAUCAACUCAUCCAAGUCAAUCAAAUAAUCAAACUCAACUGAGCAAAAAAGUAAGUCAUGGCAGAUUGUGCUCCUGAGAGCAUUGUUAUUGUUAUUUUUUGUUCCAGCUAUUAUCUUCAUCUCCAAUCCAAUGUAAUUUCAUUGAUAUUCUUCUGACUCAUGAUUAUUCCUUUCUUUUAUUUCCCUUUUCUACUUUUCAGCAUCAUUGUUUUCCUUGUAAUUACUUUUUAUAUAUGUAAUGUCUUGGCUGCAUUUUAUCGUUCUUUGUCUUGGCUGCUUUACCUUUCUUAUCUGGAAAAGGAAGCACAUAUGUGAUUGUAUCACUAAGUUAUAAAAUUUUAGUGAAAAAUUCUCAUGAAGAUUAUGAGGAGAUAUGUAAAAUUUUAGUAGGUUAAUUCCUAUAAAAGAAAAUUUUCAAGUAUAGAUUAAUAUAUUGUUCAAAACUUAACGGACUCUUGAGGUUAAUUUCAUAUUCCUCCCUGAGAUUUUGUGAUGACUAAAAAAAUAAAAUAAAAAAUAAAUAAAUAAAAGAAGGGAAUAUAUGCAUGAUGAUGUUUCGGUGGUGGUAAUAAAAUAAACAAAAGAUGGAAUAAAGAUUAUGAUGAUGUGUGUGGGUGGACAGCAUUUGUUAAAGCUAAAGAAGACACAUGGGGUGGGGCUAUUAAAAAUAAUACUAAUCUCUCUCUCUCUCUCUCUCUGUCAAACCCACAUUUAUUUUUUUAUCAUCACCCGAAUAUCUUGUAUCUCCAAACAGCUCUUUGCUUGCUGGGUUCUUUUCAAAUUGAAUCUUUUCCUUCUUCAUCACUCUCGAAUCUCUCAAAACCUUGAAAAAAAAAGAGAAAAGGAUUCGUCUGCAUUUUAAACCCUAGACAGAGGCCUUUUUCACGAGAUGCUGAUUAAUGGGUAGAAGAGAUUUGUAGGUUUUGGAGGUCAAAAAAAAGAAUGGGGUUUUUUUUUUUUUCUCAAGUUCUUGAUUGGGGCUUCAAUGGGGUCUCCCAGAGGGUUCUUUCCACCCAGGAGUCUUAUUUGCUAGUGUUGGACACGUGGGUAAUAUGAGUUUUGGCAUUUAACCUAAUUCACCAAAUUCUCGAGACAACAAUGGUGGAUUCAAGGUACCUUACACAGAUUUAUAUGUCAAAUAUGUAUCUUCCCCAGAAGGUUUUCGAAUUGUUGGUGUUCCAGAAUUGAUAGAUGAGGAAGGGGUCGGACUAAACUUAAAAUCGAGAUUGCAAAUCUUUCAUUGAGGAGGUUGAUAAGCGGGGUUGGAGGCAAUUAGGACACAUUUGAUGGUUGGGAGUAGUGGCAAUACUACUACUGAAGUGUUCCAUAAUAUUACGAAAACUGAUGGAUGGAAAGGAUUGUUUAGAGGCAAUCUUGUUAAUGUGAUUCGGGUUGCACCAAGCAAAGCUAUAGAGCAUGUGCGGGAACAUCACUGGAAUCGCAUAUCUAUUCUAGAUAUUGAAACUACUGUCAACAGCAGGUCAGCUGUACCUUACUCGUGGGCAGAGAUCAUGUUUCUGUUAGAGAAACUCGGGGAUGAUAAAAUUAUGAUACACGAGGAUACAAUGUAUAUUCUUUGAAAAAAUUCAAGUGGAGCCAUCCUUAAUUCAGUGUGUAUUCUUGUUAUUUUCUGAAGGACUGUUUGGGACUUGGAUAGUCAUUAAUUGAAGAAACGUAAACAAACAUCAAUGGUCUGUUUUUCUCCCUGCGGCUGUGUAUGCUAGUUUUUGGCACUUAAUUUUGUCAGAGAACGAAAUUGAGUAGGGAUAUUGAUAGUUGAAGAAUUAGAUGUUUAAUUCAGAAAUUGUGACUCUUUAAGCUUUUAAAAAGAAGUACCAUUUCUCAAUCCAUAUUCGAGCUACUCUAAUUUCAUUCUUUGUGAGGUUACAUCGGGAAUGGAUGCUAUGAAAUUGAAGUUCUUGAGGCCGAAGUGAAGAGCUUGGUGAGAGCAACGUGUUGACAGGUGGAGAUCGGAACCCAACAAGUCGAAAAUUGAGGUUUUUGCUUGUUUCCUCGUCAAACUUGAGGUGCAAGUGAAAUAUUUCCUCAAAGGCAAUAGCAUGGGUGGACGUUUGGGAAGCAAGGGCUUCUUAUUUAUGCCUUAUGUGUGUAUGUUUGUUAUUUGUAAAGCCGAGGGCUUAAGAUGUAAUGAGUGGGACUCAAUAUGUGUAACUAAGCAAUGACUUGGAAAGUUAUAAGCCUACAUGGCAUUUAACUGUUUGUUAAACAGUAAACUCUGAUGUAUGAAAGUAUGU